rnacentral:rRNA from 1 species
GGCGGACGGGUGAGUAAUGCCUAGGAAUUGCCCUGAUGUGGGGGAUAACCAUUCGGAAACGAUGGCUAAUACCGCAUGAUGCCUAGGGCCAAAGAGGGGAUCCUUCGGGCCUCUCGCGUCAGGAUAUGCCUAGGUCGGGAUUAGCUAGUUGGUGAGGUAAGGGCUCACAAGGCGACGAUCCCUAGCUGGUCUGAGAGUGAUGAUCAGCCACACUGGAACUGAGACACGGUCCAUGACCCUACGGAGAGGCAGCAGUGGGGAAUAUUAGCACAUGGGCGCAAGCCUGAUGCAGCCAUGCCGCGUGUGUGAAGAAGGCCUUCGGGUUGUAUAAGCACUUUCAGUCGUGAGGAAGGUGGUGUAGUUAAUAGCUGCAUUAUUUGACGUUAGCUACAGAAGAAGCACCGCGCUAACUCCGUGCCAGCAGCCGCGGUAAUACGGAGGGUGCGAGCGUUAAUAGGAAUUACUGGGCGUAAACGCAUGCAGGUGGUUUGUUAAGUCAGAUGUGAAAGCCCGGGGCUAACCUCGGAAUUGCAUUUGAAACUGGCAGACUAGAGUACUGUAGAGGGGGGUAGAAUUUCAGGUGUAGCGUGAA